rnacentral:lncRNA from 1 species
GUGAGCUAUGAGGAGGUCAGUUUGCUGAUCUUUCUUUAGCUGGCUAUAGAUUUCAAGGACAGGAUGAAGUUCAGUGUUCUGUUGCAUCCCUCUCAUCGUAGCCGAAAGUGCCUGCAUCUGCUGGACAAGGCUGUUGUAUUGGUCUUAGGAGACCACUGGUGCUGCUGGUGAGGGAUUUUUCGAGAUCGAUGGAGGUGGUGCAUUCGUCGAUGGGGCAUUAUCGGCCUGUCUACCGUUAGAACAUUAUGAUGCAUUCGAUGCACCUCUUCGUAUCUUCAUGGUGGCUGGUGGUGAGCUUUCUCCUCUCAAAAUAGGACCUCGAAACUAGUCGAGGCCCUUCCUCUGGCACCAAGUAUUGCUCCUGAUUUUUCUGCCUAAGGUCUGCUGUCGAGGUGGAGAUGACCGAGGAAGAGAAUAUUACUAGAGCUUUGCCCAAGUACCUGUAAGAAGUCUUCACUAGGAUGUUCUCCGGUGAAGAUCCUCCAAUACUCAAGUUAGG